AGGUCUUCAACAUCCAGGACGAGCAGCGGGUCUCGGCCAUGCAGAGCGUCUUCCUGAAGACCAAGACUCUGGGUGCUGAGGAUCGCUGAGGGUCAGCCCCGAGGGCGUCUGAGUGUGCUGGACAGUGCGUCUCGGAGGCCCCGGGGUGAAGGUGCUGUGCGCUCUGUGUGACGUCAUCAAGACCGAGAGCUGACAGUCCUCGGGGCCAGGAGCUUGUCUGCACCUGGGUCGUGUGCUGCUCCAGGUGGCGGGGCCUCUGAUGUGUCCAGUGGGGCCGGGACCGCCUGCUUUCUGGAUACAUAAAGUGGAGAAGCUUGUGUGCA